AACCCCUUUAACUAAGUCCAGAGAGGCUAGAAAGGUGUUCAUGGUAAAAGUAGGGAUUAGCCCUUCUUUUCGUGCAACCUUGUCUAGUUAGGCAAGGUUAUUUUUUGU
rfam:Streptococcus cuniculi strain NED12-00049-6B 4, whole genome shotgun sequence.